CACUGUGAGACCACUGCAUAAGAACGGGAAAAGGAAGCAAUUUAGUCACAUUUCCUUUGAAGGAAAAAAGAUCACCUGUAGAGAAAAUAUAACUUAUGAAGACCAGCAUCUUAUAGCCUACUUUGUUCGCCAAACCAUGAAGAAUUUCAUCAAAACCUGUUUAGGACUUUUUGAGUUAUGUUGGGAACAGACAAACAAACGGAGGCGAAAACAUAACCUCAUCCAACAAAGUUGGCAUAGUCUAUCCAGCUCCUGUCUCAGAGCCCUGUCUUUAUGUCCACACCCAAUACUGUUUUCACCUGUAUCAAGU